UACAGAGGUCCCAAGCGUUGUUCGGAUUCACUGGGCGUAAAGGGUGCGUAGGUGGCUUGGUAAGUUUGAUGUGAAAUCUCCGGGCUUAACCCGGAAAUGGCAUUGAAUACUAUUGAGCUGGAGGUUUGGAGGGGGGACUGGAAUUCUCGGUGUAGCAGUGAAAUGCGUAGAUAUCGAGAGGAACACCGAUGGCGAAGGCAGGUCUCUGGGCAUUAACUGACGCUGAGGAGCGAAAGCAUGGGGAGCGAACAGG
rnacentral:rRNA from 1 species